GAGUACUGCUCAUAGGACAGGAUUUACUCCUUUUGAAUCGAUGACAGAUCAGACCAUGCAUCUACUAGAGAAUGUGAUCAUGGGAAGACCGGUGAGCUGCAAUGAUCAUAUUAUUCCAUGGUGCAUUGAGGUAGAACAAGAUAUAACAACACCAAUGCAGAAUGAAGAGCAAAAUCCACAAGGAGGCUGCAGCUGAGAUAAUGCACUGAGAAAGGGUCCGGAGAUCCACGUGUGAGAUAUGGGAAAAUUGGGAGACCCCCAGUCGCCCUAAUAACUACACCUGCAUGAAGUGCAUCGAGCUACAACUCCUUGGAGAACAGGCGAAGGAGCGAGAACUGCAGAUGGAUGACCUACAGCUCAUACGUGAAAAUGGAGAUGUGAUAGAUAGCAGCCACACUUUGUGCAUUUCUGUGAUAUUCUGGUGCUGCUGCAACUUAUUUUCUGCUACUUAUCUAUUUAAUACUGUUUUUCUAUUACUGUCUUGUUUUUAUCUACUGCUUUAUUUAAUUACCUGAGAGGAAGCCAAACAGAGUUUUAUUGUACCUGUGUAUAAGGACAAUAAAGAUUAUUCAAUUCAAUCCAAUACAGGGAGGUAGUCACCCCUAAGUUGCA